rnacentral:rRNA from 1 species
UACAGAGGUCUCAAGCGUUGUUCGGAUUCAUUGGGCGUAAAGAGCGUGUAGGCGGCUUUACAGGUCCGUUGUGAAAACUCGAGGCUCAACCUCGAGACGCCGGUGGAAACCGUAAAGCUAGAGUCCGGAAGAGGAGAGUGGAAUUCCUGGUGUAGCGGUGAAAUGCGCAGAUAUCAGGAGGAACACCCGUGGCGAAAGCGGCUCUCUGGGACGGUACUGACGCUGAGACGCGAAAGCGUGGGGAGCAAACAGG